rnacentral:rRNA from 1 species
UACGUAGGGUCCGAGCGUUGUCCGGAAUUACUGGGCGUAAAGAGCUCGUAGGUGGUUUGUCGCGUUGUUCGUGAAAACUCACAGCUUAACUGUGGGCGUGCGGGCGAUACGGGCAGACGUUGAGUACUGCAGGGGAGACUGGGAAUUCCUGGUGAUAGCGGUGGGAAUACGGCAGAUAUCAGGAGGAACACCGGUGGCGAAGGCGGGUCUCUGGGCAGUAACUGACGCU